GUGUAAUUUAUUGUUAAAAAAUGUCAUUACCUGGCAUAUUUAUUGCUAAAAAAUGUAAUUUUUUUUUUGUUUGAAGGAAUGUGUUGAGCCUCCCCAAGAUUUCCUGGAGACUUCCUUUGCUGCAGAAGACCCUCCACCUGUUGAAAAUGCAGAAGCACCAGCUGACAAAGCUGACAUGGUAGAAACUCGUUCUUCUGCUAAAAGGAAGCACAGGGCUGAGUCAGAGCAGGCUGCUGGCAAACCCUCAGGAGCCACCACCACCAGGAAUGCUGAAGGCACUAAAAAUCCAAGGAAGAACAAGAUCCCACGCCAGAAGAAUCCAACCACAUCUGCUCCCAAAAAACCACAGAGAUCAAGACAGACAAGCUACGGGAAAAGAAGAAAGAGAAAAGUGAAAAAAUGUAUAUAUGGGGAAAGAGAGAUGGCUUCUAAGAAACCCCUUCUCAGCCCUAUCCCUGAAAUUCCAGAGGAUUUCUCUUCUGUCUCAUCUCCAGACUCACCAAAGGCAGAGGGGCUUUUUUCAGAGGAUGCAGCUGCAGGUAAUCCUAAAACCUGGAAUGCUUGUGAGGAUGUCCAGGAGAAGGUGGUGGCUGAAGGGGUGAGAGGGAAGAGCACCAUCCAUGCAGUGGAUGUGGAUCCAAGCUCCAAGGACCUGGAUGUGGCAGCUCCCAGCAGCUCCAGGGAUGGGGCCCCUCAGGUGUCCCAGGGGGACCUGGAGGCUCCUUCUGGCACUGAGCAGGAGGUAACUGAGUUGCUUAAGGAUCAGGGAAGUCAUGUUUGGGGGGAAGGAAAACACAGGAGGAAUGAUGGAUUAAGGAUUAGAACAGGCUGCCU
rnacentral:lncRNA from 1 species